ensembl:lncRNA
GCCGCUCGGACGGAGCCGCGCUGCGGCACCGCGGCCACGCGUGGGACCCACAAAGGGCCGCCCCAUAAGUAACCACGGCCCCAUAAGUGAGCGCGGCCCCAUAAGUGAGCGCGGCCCCAUAAGGCUGCCCCAUAAGUAACCACGGCCCCAUAAGUGAGCGCGGCCCCAUAAGUGAGCGCGGCCCCAUAAGGCUGCCCCAUAAGUAACCACGGCCCCAUAAGUGAGCGCGGCCCCAUAAGGCCGCCCCAUAAGUAAGCACGGCCCCAUGAGUAAGCAUGGCCCCAUGAGCGAGCACGGCCCCAUAAGGCUGCCCCAUAAGUUACCACGGCCCCAUAAGGCCACCCCAUAAGUUACCACGGCCCCAUAAAUAACCACGGCCCUAUAAAGCGGCCCCAUAAGUGAGCGCGGCCCCAUAAGUGAGCAAAGCCCCAUAAGGCCGCCCCAUAAGUGAGUGCGGCCCCAUAAGGCCACCCCAUAAGUAACCACGGCCCCAUAAGGGCCACCCUAUAAGUAACCACAGCCCCAUAAGUGAACACGGCCCCAUAAAACCGCCCCAUAAGUGAGCACGGCCCCAUAAGAACGCCCCAUAAGUGAGCACGGCCCCAUAAGGCCGCCCCAUAUGUUACCACAGCCCCAUAAGUGAGCGCGGCCCCAUAAGUGAGCGCGGCCCCAUAAGGCCACCCCAUAAGUAACCACGACCCCAUGAGUGAGUGCAGCCCCAUGAGGCCGCCCCAUGAGUGAGCACGGCCCCAUAAGUAACCACGGCCCCAUAAGGCCGCCCCAAAAGUAACCACGGCCCCAUAAGUGAGUGCGGCCCCAUAAGGCCACCCCAUAAGUAACCACGGCCCCAUAAGGGCCACCCUAUAAGUAACCACAGCCCCAUAAGUGAACACGGCCCCAUAAAACCGCCCCAUAAGUGAGCACGGCCCCAUAAGAACGCCCCAUGAGUGAGCACGGCCCCAUAAGUGAACACAGCCCCAUAAGUGAGCGCGGCCCCAUAAGUGAGCGCGGCCCCAUAAGGCCACCCCAUAAGUAACCACGACCCCAUGAGUGAGUGCAGCCCCAUGAGGCCGCCCCAUAAGUGAGCACGGCCCCAUAAGUAACCACGGCCCCAUAAGGCCGCCUCAAAAGUAACCACGGCCCCAUAAGUGAGCACGGCCCUAUGAGUAACCACGGCCCCAUAAAGCCACCCCAUAAGUAACCACGGCCCCAUGAGUGAGCACGGCCCCAUAAGUGAGCGCGGCCCCAUAAGGCCGCCCCACAAGUAACCACAGCCCCAUGAGGCCGCCCCACAAGUAACCACGGCCCCAUAAAGGCCGCCCCAUAAGUAACCACGGCCCCAUAAGGCACCCCCAUAAGUAACCACGGCCCUAUAAGGGCCCCCCCAAUAAGUAACCACAGCCCCAUAAGGCCGCCCCAUAAGUAACCACGGCCCCAUAAAGGCCGCCCCAUAAGCAACCUUAACCCCAUAAGGGCCGCCCCAUAAGCAAGUAUAGCCCUAGAAGGGCCACUUCAUAAGCAACCUCAGCCCCAUAAGUAACCUCAGUACCAUAAGGCCACCCCAUAAGUAACUGCAGCCCCAUAAGGCCGCCCCAUAAGUAACCACAGCCCCAUAAGGCCGCCCCAUAAGCAUCUGCAGCCCCAUAAGGCCGCCCCAUAAGUAACCACAGCCCCAUAAGGCCGCCCCAUAAGUAACCACAGCGCCAUAAGGCCACCCCAUAAGUAACCACACCCCAUAAAGGCCGCCCCAUAAGUAACCUCAGCCCCAUAAGGCCACUCCAUAAGUAACCACGGCCCCAUAAGGCACCCCCAUAAGUAACCACAGCCCCAUAAGCAACCUCAACCCCAUAAGGGCUGCCCCAUAAGUAAGCACAACCCUAUAAGGGCCACUUCGAAAGCAAUCUCAGCCCCAUAAGUAACCUCAGUCCCAUAAGGCCACCCCAUAAGUAACUGCAGCCCCAUAAGGCCGCCCCAUAAGUAACCACAGCCCCAUAAGGCCGCCCCAUAAGUAACCUCAACCCCAUAACAGCCGCCCCAUAAGUAACCACAGCGCCAUAAGGCCGCCCCAUAAGUAACCACAGCCCCAUAAACGCCGCCCCAUAAGUAACCACGGCCCUAUAAGGGCCCCCCCAUAAGUAACUGCAGCCCCAUAAGCAACCUCAACCCCAUAACGGCCGCCCCAUAAGUAACCACGGCCCCAUAAGACCGCCCCAUAAGUAACCACAGCCCCAUAAGACCGCCCCAUAAGUAACCACAGCCCCAUGAGUAAGCACGGCCCCAUAAGUAACCACGGCCCUAUAAGGGCCCCCCCAAUAAGUAACCACAGCCCCAUAAGGCCGCCCCAUAAGUAACCACGGCCCCAUAAGGCCGCCCCAUAAGUAACCACGGCCCCGUAAGGGCCACCCCAUAAGGGCCGCUCCGUAAGUAACCACGGCCCCAUAAGUAACCCCGGCCCCAUAAGUGACCUCAGCCCCAUAAGUAACGGCCGCCCCAUAAGUAACCACGGCCCUAUAAGGGCCCCCCCAUAAGUAACCGCAGCCCCAUAAACAACCUCAACCCCAUAAGGGCCGCCCCAUAAGUAACGGCCGCCCCAUAAGUAACCCCGGCCCCAUAAGGCCGCCCCAUAAGUAACCCCGGCCCCAUAAGUGACCUCAGCCCCAUAAGUAACGGCCGCCCCAUAGGGCCGCCCGCAGCCGCUCACCGCUCAGCGCCGCUCCGCU